rnacentral:rRNA from 1 species
UACAAAGGGGGCUAGCGUUAUUCGGAAUUAUUGGGCGUAAAGGGCGCGUAGGCGGCCAUGCGUGUCUUCCGUGAAAUCCCUCGGCUUAACUGAGGACGUGCGGAAGAAACUGCAAGGCUCGAGUCCGGGAGAGGGGGGGUGGAAUUCCCAGUGUAGCGGUGAAAUGCGUAGAUAUUGGGAGGAACACCGGUGGCGAAGGCGGCCCCCUGGACCGGUACUGACGGCUGAGGCGCGAAAAGCGUGGGUAGCAAACGGGG